rnacentral:other from 1 species
UUUACCCUGGGGUGUUCGUCAGUUAAUCUACGUCCCUGAGCCGAUAAGCACAUCUAAGGGUUAGUACUUGGUCGCUAUUGUGCAUACUCGGCCUAGCUGAGAAGCCUACGGCAACCAUUGCUGAUCCGUCUUGAACCGCAGGGUUCAAGGGCUAUGAUAUAACAACGGCACUUUGGGGUAAUC